AAGUGGAGGAAUUUGGGGGCAGUGAAAGCUGUGUGUGCCCAUGUGAGAAGACUGGGCCAAGAGGGCACCCCUGGGGGUGCAGAGACAGUGCCCAUGGGAGUCCGUGGUGCACAGCAGCCACCCAGCUCUGGCUCUGAAGACAAGUUACAGGACAUGAGAAGAAACCCCAGGUGGCCUCCCCAUCAGCAGGUGAGCGGGUAGAGUCCUGACCAGAUGCCAGAGCAGUUUAAGAUGUCACUUCAUCCAGAGGGCAGAGGACAAGCAGGAGACCAACAGAGGCCCAGUUGGUCCAAGGAGCACUGGGGUUCUUCCAGCUCACAAAUCCUACCAGCCUAUGAUUUCGAAGUUAAAAUCUCCAGGCACUGGCUGGAAGCACCGGAAGUCAGAGGAGGAAGAGAUGUGAGUGGGUUAGAACCUCAGGGAAGGCUCUGGGGAGGAGGCGGCUCUCCACGAGGCCGUGCGGGUGCCGCAUGCUUGUUGUGCAGGAGGUGGGAGGACAUUUAUGGGCAUGAAAAUGGGGCUGAGCAGAGGCUGUUCACGGUACAGGGAGGAGGAGGCCAGCAUCGCUGGAACGCGCUGUCUCUGUCUCGGACAAACGGGAUCAGACGUGUGAGGUCGUGGUGGUGCCUGAAAACCAGAACUGACUCCGUGGGAAGACUCAGAACCAGAUGCUCCAGCACCGUUAUCCCAGGGGCCUCGCCCACACCCCCAGAGAGUUACCCAUCCAUGUUGCAGCCCAUGGGGCCACAGAAGAGCAAGCAACAACCACCACCCAUCCCCAGCUGGAUCCAUCUUUUCCAUCACCAGUCGUUACCAGGCUCCUGCCAUGUGCCAUGA
rnacentral:lncRNA from 1 species